rnacentral:rRNA from 1 species
UGGGGAAUCUUGCGCAAUGGGGGAAACCUUGACGCAGCAACGCCGCGUGGGUGAUGAAGGCCUUCGGGUCGUAAAGCCCUGUCAGGUGGGAAGAAACUUGUGGACGUUAAUACCAUCCACACUUGACGGUACCACCGGAGGAAGCACCGGCUAACUCCGUGCCAGCAGCCGCGGUAAUACGGAGGGUGCAAGCGUUGUUCGGAAUUACUGGGCGUAAAGCGCGUGUAGGCGGUUGGGCAAGUCAGAUGUGAAAGCCUUCUGCUUAACAGAAGAAGUGCAUUUGAAACUACCCGGCUAGAGUACGAGAGAGGAGAGUGGAAUUCCCGGUGUAGAGGUGAAAUUCGUAGAUAUCGGGAGGAACACCAGUGGCGAAGGCGGCUCUCUGGCUCGAUACUGACGCUGAGACGCGAAAGCGUGGGGAGCAAACAGGAUUAGAUACCCUGGUAGUCCACGCCCUAAACGAUGGGCACUAGGUGUAGGAGGUAUUGACCCCUUCUGUGCCGAA